AGUGAACGCUGGCGGUAGGCCUAACACAUGCAAGUCGAACGGCAGCACAGUAAGAGCUUGCUCUUACGGGUGGCGAGUGGCGGACGGGUGAGGAAUACAUCGGAACCUACUUUUUCGUGGGGGAUAACGUAGGGAAACUUACGCUAAUACCGCAUACGACCUACGGGUGAAAGCAGGGGAUCUUCGGACCUUGCGCGAUUGAAUGAGCCGAUGUCGGGUUAGCUAGUUGGCGGGGUAAAGGCCCACCAAGGCGACGAUCCGUAGCUGGUCUGAGAGGAUGAUCAGCCACACUGGAACUGAGACACGGUCCAGACUCCUACGGGAGGCAGCAGUGGGGAAUAUUGGACAAUGGGCGCAAGCCUGAUCCAGCCAUACCGCGUGGGUGAAGAAGGCCUUCGGGUUGUAAAGCCCUUUUGUUGGGAAAGAAAAGCAGCAGGUUAAUACCCCGCUGUUCUGACGGUACCCAAAGAAUAAGCACCGGCUAACUUCGUG
rnacentral:rRNA from 1 species